GUUUCUUGGGCACAAUGAGGAAGUGGUGCACCUCUUAUCACAGGAAGUCGAUGCUUUAUCACUUCACUUAAGACACAUCAGCUCAGAGACUAUGACAGCUGAUACCUGAGAAGGGACUGUAAAAGGACUCCACCACCAUGGUUAAAUUCAGAUGGAUUCAAAUGUCUUUGUUUCUGAUCUUGCACAGAGCAGGUAGCAGAAACAUUUACAAAACAAACGUCUGUUGAAACCAGAAUUAUCCUCACACUAAAUCUUGAUUUAAAAGGUACUUUCUCUUACUUUUGUCUUGCUGUUUUUACAGCAAUUGCGACACAAUUUUAUGACCUUCAUGUCAAAAAUGGAAAAGAGGCCGUGAUGCAUUGCGGAGAUGUAAUAGACCAUCAGGGCAAAUGUGACGGUGUCCUCUGGCUAUUCCGUCGCCAAUUUCUUCUGGGAAAAGAUCAGCAGCUCAACCGUGGGCGGAUUAUUAAGAACCCUGAGGAUAAAUCGUACAGACUGAGUGUUACAGAGGACUGUUCUCUGGUUAUAAAGAAGGUCACAUUUGACGACACUGGUUUCUACACCUGCUUAAAACCAGGACAAGAUGAAGAAUAUCUAGUUGAACUGAUUGUUUUCACCACAGGAAUCAUCUUUCCAGGGUCUGGAACCGAUGCUCCAUCAAAUUUACAAGGAGUCACAGCAGGGAGAAACGAGACAGCAACAGAACAAGGAGGCACAGCAGGGAGAAACGAGACAGCGACAGAACAAGCUCGUACAGAUUGUUCUGUUGUCGACUACAUCAUGUUGGUUCUGCGUGUGGCUGAACUCGUCCUAAUUACUGGGAUUACUGUUCUUCUCAUCAGAGCUCCAGGGAACCAGAGACCAGUGAGGCGUUCAGGUGCAGCAGCCAGUCAGGUGGAUCAUGAUGAAGAUGAAGAUGAUGGUGUGGUGAAAUAUGAAAACCGUGGAGACACUUCUGCCUCUGUCAGACUCCGCUGAAGAAUUCAGAGCUGAUUUGAAGAUUUCCUGUUUGUUGUUGAAGCUGCUGCAGCUUGAGCUCAGUUCCAUGUCUCUGUGUGCAGAAGAACUCAUUUUAGGGAGAGCUGUGUGUUCUGUAACGCGCCUGAGUCUGUACAUCAUGUGUUUGUUGAAUUUCACCGUUUGUUGUCUUCUCUCUCCUCUCUGCUGUCUGAGGGAAGAUAGGAGUGUUUCUCUGAGGGGAUUUGCAUACUGGGGUCCAGGUAUUCAUAACAUCUUUUUAAGAGUUUUAAGGGUGAAUGUAUUUGCCUUUAUUCAUUAAUAUGACAAAUGUCUUUUCUGUGCCGAGCUCUUUGUGUUUCAGUCUGAGCUGAACUAACAGGCUGGAGUCAAACUGGUGGACGAGGAGUUUGACUCUUCAGCUGUCUGUGUAUGUGUGCUGUAAACAUCAUGAAUCCUGACUGUUUCACAAUAAAGUAUAAAAAGAUAAUAAGUUGUAUUUGUGCAAAUGUGUAUCUCAACUAACAAUCCUCAAAUAUGCAUCGAAUGUAAAAAUUUAAACGUGACAGUAUCUAACUUCACACAAAUUCAACAGCAAACUGAGGUGUGAAACAGACUGAAGUCAUUAUGAGGAAGUGACUUCUUACUUAUUGUAGGAAGUAGAUGCUGUGAUCAUAUUUAAGAAUCAGCACAUCAGAGGUGUCAAAAGUCCACACCCUCUUUACUCAAGUAGAAGUACAGGUUCGGCAAUGUACUCACACUUAAAAAGUAAAAAGUUACCAUUUGAAGGACUUUUUUUUAUGAAAAGCUAACUGAAACCACAG
ensembl:lncRNA